UACAGAGACUGCAAGCGUUAUUCGGAUUCACUGGGCGUAAAGGGUGCGCAGGCGGCCAAGUGUGUGAGGCGUGAAAGCCCGGGGCUUAACCCCGGAAUUGCACCUCAAACUACAUGGCUAGAGCAUUGGAGAGGGUAGCAGAAUUCACGGUGUAGCAGUGAAAUGCGUAGAGAUCAUGAGGAAGACCAGUGGCGAAGGCGGGUCUCUGGACAGUUCCUGACACUGAGACACGAAGGCCAGGGGAGCAAACGGG
rnacentral:rRNA from 1 species